rnacentral:misc_RNA from 1 species
UUGAAUAAACCUGAUGGGUUGCUGCUGAUUCAUUAUAAAUGAAUAUGUGCACAUCUGUCAUCUUUAUAUCUCCACCUGUGCACCUUUUGUAGACCUAGACAAGUUUCUUAAUGCUAGCAUUAAGGUCUUAGGAUUGACUUUUGUCUCUCCUUAUAGUUCUGGGCCUAUGUUUAUUCAUAUACCCUAAUGUAUGUUAAAGAAUGUAAUAAAUGGGCCUUUGUGCCUAUAAUACUAUA